rnacentral:rRNA from 1 species
AGGCCUUUUCUGACGGUAAAGCUCGGAGGUGCGGGUAUCGAACAGGAUUAGAUACCCUGGUAGUCCGCACGGUAAACGAUGGAUGCCCGCUGUUUGCGAUAUACUGUGAGCGGCCAAGAGAAAUCGUUAAGCAUCCCACCUGGGGAGUACGCCGGCAACGGUGAAACUCAAAGGAAUUGACGGGGGCCCGCACAAGCGGAGGAACAUGUGGUUUAAUUCGAUGAUACGCGAGGAACCUUACCCGGGCUUGAACUGCCAGCGAACGAUUCAGAGAUGAUGAGGUCCUUCGGGACGCUGGUGGAGGUGCUGCAUGGUUGUCGUCAGCUCGUGCCGUGAGGUGUCGGCUUAAGUGCCAUAACGAGCGCAACCCUUUUCUUUAGUUGCCAUCAGGUAAUGCUGGGCACUCUGGAGAUACUGCCACCGUAAGGUGUGAGGAAGGUGGGGAUGACGUCAAAUCAGCACGGCCCUUACGUCCGGGGCUACACACGUGUUACAAUGGGGGGUACAGAGAGUCGGAUAUACGCAAGUAUGUUCUAAUCCUUAAAGCCUUCCUCAGUUCGGAUUGGGGUCUGCAACCCGACCCCAUGAAGCUGGAUUCGCUAGUAAUCGCGCAUCAGCCAUGGCGCGGUGAAUACGUUCCCGGGCCUUGUACACACCGCCCGUCAAGCCAUGAAAGCCGGGGGCGCUUGAAGUCCGUGACCGCAAGGAUCGGCCUAGAGCGAAACUGGUAAUUGGGGCUAAGUCGUAACAAGGUAGCCGUA